AGAGGAGGCUGCGACGCCGCCGAGUCCGCCGCGACGCAGACGGCAGUGGCCGGUGUGAGUGCAGAGCCGGGCCCUGGGCAGCGGCGGCGCGGUAGGACCUCGCGCAGCGUUCGCGGGCUCCGGGGCGGGGGCUCCAGCGGCGAAGCCCCCUCCCCGGGGAGGCGGGGCCUGGGGGAACUCCCUAGCCAGGGAGCGGCGGCGGCCGGGAACGAUGCAUCAGAAGCUGCUGAAGAGCGCGCAUUAUAUCGAGCUGGGCAGCUACCAGUACUGGCCAGUCCUGGUGCCCCGUGGCAUCCGUCUGUACACCUACGAGCAGAUCCCCGUGUCCCUCAAGGACAACCCGUACAUCACCGACGGCUACCGGGCCUACCUGCCGUCCAGGCUGUGUAUCAAAAGUUUGUUUAUUUUAUCUAAUGAGACAGUAAACAUCUGGAGUCAUUUGCUGGGUUUCUUUCUCUUCUUCACCCUGGGAAUAUAUGACAUGACAUCUGUGUUACCUUCAGCAAGUGCGUCCAGAGAAGAUUUUGUAAUUUGUUCUAUUUGUCUUUUCUGCUUCCAGGUCUGUAUGCUCUGCUCUGUGGGCUAUCAUCUUUUUUCCUGCCAUCGGUCAGAAAAAACAUGUCGAAGAUGGAUGGCAUUAGAUUAUGCAGGAAUUUCUAUUGGAAUACUGGGCUGCUAUGUCUCAGGAGUAUUUUACGCAUUUUAUUGUAAUAACUACUGGCGUCAGGUAUACUUGAUCACAGUGCUUGCUAUGAUCCUGGCAGUGUUCUUUGCGCAGAUUCAUCCCAAUUACCUCACGCAGCAAUGGCAAAGGCUGCGUUCUAUCAUCUUUUGCUCUGUUUCGGGAUAUGGAGUGAUUCCUACUCUUCACUGGGUUUGGCUCAAUGGAGGAAUUGGUGCUCCUAUUGUACAGGACUUUGCACCCCGUGUAAUUGUGAUGUAUAUGAUUGCUCUUCUUGCUUUCCUAUUCUACAUUUCCAAAGUCCCAGAGCGGUACUUUCCAGAAAAUAUUUUCAGAUGGAAAAUAAGAGGACACUGGGUGGAGUGAACAACAGUCUCCAAAACCUGUAUUUGCUUGUUUGAGAACUUUAGCUCUGGAGUCAGACUGCUUGGGUUCAAGACCCACAUCAACCACUUUCUAGUUACGUGAGCUAAGACAACUAAACUACCUCGGAUCAAGCCACCAAAUAUGGCAUAUCCUUGCAGUAGUGAUGUUAUAUUGGUGGCAUCAGUCAACAGUGUAUGUCAUGCAGUACAGACAUAGCAAGCCUUGUCCUGACUAUGUUUCACAUUUGUGAAUUAGGUAUGGCCCCCUGGUGAAUUCAGUUGUUAAGCAAUAUAUAAUGGGGAAUUGUAUACCCCACUAUUUCUAAAAUUCCCAUUCAUUUUCCCUUUUUCCUCUUUAAUAUGAGUAACACUUUAUAAAAAUGGGGGAAAAAAGUAUACUUAAGGAUCUGUAGUAAUAGCUGCUUUUCAAAACCCUUAAAACUACUAAUUUGCUGCUUGUACAGAAAGUGAAAAUUAGUUGGCAAUCAUAAGAAAUAUCUGAGUAACAAUGAUGAAUGGGAAACUAGUGUUGAAAUAGGAUUCAUUUUACUUAGCACCAGCUUAAUUUCCUUAGGAAGGGCUCAUCUCCAUUAGAAAAUGGAAUCAUCCUAUGUGCUUAACUAUUUUCAGUAAAUUACCAAGUUUAAGUGCCUAAUCAAGUCAAGGGUUGUUUCAGCCUAUGCUUAAUGCAAGCUAGGAUAGUGAUUUUAAAUAAUCACUAGCUUUUAAGUACAUGAUUUGUGAGAAACUGGCACUUCAGAGAUUGUGUCCUUUAGCUGUAAGUUCUUCUCUCCCUAAGAACAUUAGAUAUUUUAGUUUUCCAGAACAAAAGCUUUAAACUUCUCCCGCAAGUUGAGAGAAGGUUUGAGAAGAGGAAAAGAACAUGUCAUUUUCUAUCAGAUAAGAAUCACAUUAGAAACUAAGUACAGGAUUAGACAAAUUAUGUGAUCAAAUAACAUCGUCAUUAGCCACCUAAACAUUUUCAUUCCAGAUACUAAUUCCAUAUAACUGAAUUCUUGUGAGUGGAUUACAGCAGGUUUUUGAUCCCAAAAUUCCAGAGCUUUCAACUCUGAAUUUUUAGUCCUGAAUAUCCAGUGAUGGGGGUUCCCAGCUUUAUGGGUGCUACUUUCAAGGCCAUAGAAUCUAGAUGGCCCUGUCUUGACCCUGAAAUGAACCUUAAGCCUUAGAACAAAGUCAUGCAGAUACCCCAUUUGAUAGUACGCUUAUUCACCUGUGCUCUAGUCCUUGGUUUCUGCAUGUGCUAGCAUUGCAUUGAUAACUCAGAAUCUUGAUAAACACUUAAUAUUUGGACCUGAAGCAUUAAACUUUCUCUUUAUUGUAUAUACUUAAAAAAAUAGAUCUCACUGCCCUAUCAUACAUUGUAGCCCUCUUAUUCUUUGGUCUUUCAUAUGCAUUAAAUCCCUUAAAGCAGACAUUCAUAAAAACUUACACUGUUUAUUGGAAUAUAAAAUAUUACCCAAGUUUCUUAAUUAGUUGACAUGAGCUGUUUUAAAUAUUGGUGUAUUUUCAGAACAGCAGAAUUACUGAAUAUCAGAAAAAAUGUUAAUUGAUGAUGAAGCUCAUUUCCCAAAAUGCCUUUUGUACAUAUGAUAUUUGGAAAGUCACUUUAAUGUGCCUCAGUUAAUACAUCAGUGAAAUGUUGUGUUUCUUUUCCAGUGUAGUGUUUUUGGAAUAUAAAUUCUCCAUGCUAGUAUCUCAGCAAAGAGAAUUUCCCCCAGGAGGCUCAGUAAAGGAAUACCAUGUCUUACCCAUCGUGAUGAUGGAACCCUGCUUUGAAAAUGGCCAUUUUACCUUAUAAGAUUAAAAUUUUGAUCCAUAUGUUAAGUGAUGGAAGAUUUUGGUGCAACAGUAGUAGGAUAUAUUUCUCCUAGAGCAUCCCUUAUUGGCUUACAUGAUUUUAUUGCCUUUAAAUAGAUAUUUUGUCAUUUUGGCCAAACAAAAGACACUGAGUAGUUAUACUUAAGUUAAAAAUGAGAGGAAAGUCAUUAUUUUAGGUGUGGAGCCAUUUUUAUUAGAAAACUUUGUCAAAAUAAAAAAAAUUGAAUCAUUUCAAUUUUUGCAAUCCCUGUAUUAGUAUAUGAAUACUUGCCAUCUGAAUUAAUACAUAAAAAGAGCAUACUGUUUUUAAAUCAGUGUUUCUUUGAAUUUAAAGGGUGUACAGGUCUUUCCGUAGGAAAAAUUGUUCCAUGUAAACAUUUCAACUUUUUAUGAAAAUGUUAAAUAUUGUAAGAAAGUUAUCCUCUCGUUUUUUCACUGCUUUGAUGUAUUUAUUAUAAAGUAGGGAAUGAAUGAAUGAAUGAAUGUGGAUUGCUGUCAACUAGAAACACUUCUGUAUGUCAGUCAGCAUUUUAAUGACCACCUACUGUGUGCACAGCACUACUGGUAAAAUUUUGAAGACAUUGUUAACAUUAAAAAAUAUUUUAAAGUUGUCUACAAAUCUGAGCCUUGUAAUGAUGUAUAUUUAUUUUUGUUUUUAUAGAUUAAAAUAAGAUUAAAAUAUACUAUCCAGUUACAGUACUAAAAAAGACUGGUUUUAAUUUUACCAAUGUGUGAACUAUAAAAGCUUUUGCCUACAGAUUUUACAAGUACAUUUUAAAAUUAUCUAUGGCUGUUUUAAAUUGUCUCGCAAUUUAUAUGGUUGUAGUUAACUCAUUUAAGAAACAAUUAUCUUUCUAUAUUAAGCCAUUUUCAAAUAGCAAGACAGUGCUUGUCUUUUUUUGUUAUUACACUAACUGCAAUUCAGUAAGCUGCAUGACAAAAUAUGUAUUAUGUAAAUAAACCGGGUUUACUAAAUA